UACAGAGGGUGCGAGCGUUGUCCGGAAUCAUUGGGCGUAAAGGGCGCGUAGGCGGCUUGGUAAGUCCGUUGUGAAAUCCCUCGGCUCAACCGAGGAACUGCGACGGAUACUGCUUGGCUUGAGUCCCGGAGAGGGUAGCGGAAUUCCCAGUGUAGCGGUGAAAUGCGUAGAUAUUGGGAGGAACAUCGGUGGCGAAGGCGGCUACCUGGACGGGUACUGACGCUGAUGCGCGAAAGCUAGGGGAGCAAACAGG
rnacentral:rRNA from 1 species